rnacentral:rRNA from 1 species
GUGCCAGCCGCCGCGGUAAUACCGGCAGCCCGUGUGAUGGCCGGUCUUAUUGGGCCUAAGGCGUCCGUAGCUGGCCGCGCAAGUCCAUCGGGAAAUCCACCUGCUCAACAGGUGGGCGCCCGGUGGAAACUGUGCGGCUUGGGACCGGAAGGCGCGACGGGUACGUCCGGGGUAGGAGUGAAAUCCCGUAAUCCUGGACGGACCGCCGAUGGCGAAAGCACGUUGGGAAGACGAAUCCGACAGUGAGGGACGAAAGCUAGGGUCUCGAACCGGAUUAGAUACCCGGGUAGUCC